CCCAUCCUCCCCGAAGCAAAGAUUCUCCUUUCCCUCCUUUCUCUUUUUCUCUCUUCUCCGUCUACCCCUGAGGCAGCUGCAGUUCCGUUCCUGUGCUCAGGGUCGGAGUCGGCGGCUGGCACGGGAACAGAGGAUUCCAAGAGAGCAGGGGGUUGAAAAGACGCCGUCUGAGCCAGUCUUUCAUGGCCCGGUUGGCAUGCCCGAGAGCUUUGAAGAGGAUUGAGGCUGUCAGAUCCAGCCGACUGAUCCCAGAUCAGCACAUCUGCAGCCCCAGACUGUGGAUUGGACUCAUCGUUCCGGUCCGACUCCAAAACACAAGCCCCACUAAUGCCCUCUGAAUUCAGUACUUCCAGCCUGGAUCAUUUCACCAGAAUGAAGAUGGUAAACGGCCAGCGCCAAGUUCAGAUGGUCCGUUCAGCGCCAGCUAAUGGAAUCAGUCUUUAUUAUUUCAGAUGAAAAUGAGUAUAUUUCAAAUCCUUCACAUAAAAGCUUAUUACUGGCCUCUAAAACAUUGAAAGCUCUAUAACGGAUAAUUGACUGUGAUACCUGAAAUUUUAUUUUACACAUGUUUUGCUUUUUUCCCCUCUUGUUUGGGUCUCAGUGAAAGAAAAUAUGGCAAACAUUAAACCGGCUAAAGAUUUUCCUUUGCAGUGAAAAGGACUGUUCAAGAAGCAAUGUUUAAAAUAAUGCAAGGAUUCAAGCCGUAACUCACAUGGCAAUGUCGACAGACUGGUUUAAAUUUGCAACUUCAGCUCUCCGGCACACACCAGAGCUCCAUUUAACUACAAAGAGCAUUACCCAGAUCUAAAAAGAAAAUAAAACGGACGUAAUACAAGAUGACAACUUUGACAAUAUUUAUAAAAAUGGAAUACCGCUUUAUUCUGCCAGUCCUUUCCCACUUUUUUUUUUUUUAUCACCGACUCAUUCAUUUACUCCAUCUUUCCUGUCCUGUUCUUUAUAUAGGAACUCUUCAAGGCAUAUGCGGAACCAUUUCCCAUUUUUUCAGCAGGGCUGUUAGCUUUAUUUGUCUUCCUUUGCACCUGUGGAACAGCUCUUUCUGCACGUUACGCACACGCUAGCACACACAGACACCCGUCGCAGUGUUUUUUUUUUUUUUUUCUUCUUUUCAGCAGGUUACCAGAUUAAUAACUCUUUAUCAUGUUAAGCCUUAUACAGGUCUAUUUAUAUAAGUCCCACAAAGGCUGUUUCUAGAGCCUUGCAUCAGCUCACAGGAAUGCUCUUAUUAAUAAAACAAAGAAGAAGCCAACAUGAUUAGUGGAGACAGCCACAGUUGUGCCAGCACAUCUCACGUCUUCUCCCUCAGGCUACUGAAACAACAGUCCCGCGGAGAAGUGAACGCUUUGUCAGGAGUGCGCUGCCUCUGUUUGUCACCAAAUAUAAUCGAGCAAUUCAAAGUCCACCUGAGCACACGUAACAACUUGCUCUGUUCCAAAAUCUAGUGAACUGCCUAUAAAAGGAACAUUUUAAGACACCACAGGUUCAACACAAGGCUGUUUUUAACUAUGCCGUUUACUAAGAUACUUCAUUUUGGCCCAUAAUGCAUUACGACAAGCUACUGUACCUCAAACAGUUGAGAUUAGUUGCACAACACACACAAAAAAAAAAAAAAAAAAAAAAUUAUAUAUAUAUAUAUAUAUAUAUAUAUACAUACACACACACACACACACAAUAUAUAUACACAUAUAAAAAAAUAAAAUAAAAUAAAUAAAUACCUUGAAUGCAAGAAAGUUGCUUAUUAAAAAAAGUUCAGUGGGAAAAAAAUCUGUUGAAAAAAAUUAUGAAAAAGGUGAAAAAUGUUUACUAUAAAGCUUACAUUUUAUGCAGUGUAUAUAAAAAAUAGGUGCAAGUGUCAAAUGCAUUAAAUGUAAACCUCAGUGAAAAAAAAAAAUCCAAAAUGGCAGAUGAGGGGAAAAAUGUUUAUAAAUGCUUAUAUAUUCAUUCAAUACUGAGAAGUGUCUAUAAAAAUAGUUAUGUGUAAUUAAAAAUACUUGUGUGUACUAUUUAUUUUUACACUUACAGUAUAAAAGUACCUCACUGGUAGCUUAGCAAAAUGCUAAGAGUGUUUCAAAUCAGUCACAUAGCAGCCUAUGUAAGCAGUAGUGAGCGGGGUAGCUCACUAGAUUUUGAAAAAGAUACUUUUACAAGGAAAAAGUAAACAUCCAGACUGUAUAAAAUAUAGGUUAAACCUCUUAAUUGAAGUCCAAAAAAAAAAAAAAAAGAAGCUGUUUCUGAAGCAAACACACAUUCAUUGUGUUUAUUUAUUUGCCUCAUCAGGAAGAACUGCUCUCGGGACACAAACAUUCAGGAACGCGGUCUACGGAAGGAUAGGGUGUAUUUCUGUUAGCAACUCCAACUGCUAGCCCAAAGGGCAGAGGGCAGGUGUGUGUGUGUGUCCCAGCGGUUAGAACACACAGCUUGCGGCUCUUCCUCCAGAUUUGUCUUCCCUAGACGUAUGGUUGGUGGUGGUGGUGGGGGGCAGGUAUGACUACAUCAACUAAAAGGCCGGGCCCAAGGGAAGUCUGUCACUGUCUGCCGUGAAGACAGAUAGCAGGAAGACCCAGAGCUGAGAAAGAGCGUGAGAGUGAGAGAGAUGUAAUGAGCAGGGUACCUAAAGUAAGUCACCACAAGAAAGGGUCUGAAACAAAUAAGUGUUCUUGAUAGAAUAAUAAAGGAAAGUCUGAAUUGCUAGGUGUCUCUUAGCAGUUUUAACCUUGGCCCAGCACCGGCCACUUCAAAGGGAUCAACUACUCUCUCCUCCCGGGGGGUACGGCGCACUGGAAUAUCCUGACAGUAAAGAAGAGACUCUCGUUUGAAGACUGCUUAGCCGAGCACUUAUGCGUUCCCUUUUUAUGAGCGAAGCCGUUCCCCACUCCACUCUAGAGCGGUUUCUCUCCGUGGAAGUGGCACACUGCUCCACUUGGCAUUAUGACAGAAUCCCUUCACGUUGCCACCCACUUACACACUCACUCACCCCAGGCCUUUAAUUUUAACAUGAAAUGGCGUCCGCAGCCCAUUUUACUGACGUAAUGUGACAUUUUGGAGUGAAACAGGAUAUUUAAUGAGAAAACAAUGGCUGAAACUUAUGUAUUUGUAUUUUUUUUUUUUUUUUUUUUACAUUUAUCCUUCUUUCAUUAUAUUAUCCAUCAGGAAUUGAUUGAAUUGUGAAAAGAGGGCAGUAUAUAACAAAAAUGGAGUGAAAACAACCCAAAUGAGAAAAUGUAUUUUACAAAGUUGCAUUUUAAUACAACAUUUGUACGAUGUGAUCUGUAAGAAAACGUACAAUUAAAAAAACAUGAAGUCCUAACUAGGGUUAUUACUGAUAACUAAAAUUAUUAGUUAUAUAAGUUAAAUAAAAUAAUUAUUAGAUGGAAAAAAGUGAUAUAAAUUAGAAAUGUUGGCAACUAACUGAAAUGAGUUUAAGUUGAAGCACUAAAAUGACUGACUGGAAACAUAAAAAAUAAAAAACCUGAAACGAAAAAAAAAAAAAAAAAAAAAAAGCAUAACAAAAUUACUGACAAAAAAAAAAAAAAAAAAAAAACUCAACCUCUAAACAAAAUCCUCAGUGGGUUGUACAAAAAUGUACAAAUGAGAUUAUAUGAAUUCGUAGAAAUUUGUCACCAAUUUGCCAAAAUGUAAAAUAACAACAAAUUGUCAUGAGAGUGUGUCGGACGAAAAUAAGAGGGAUAGUAACUCUAACAGCCGAAAAGUAAAGUUGUAAAGCCAAAUGUUUUUCUUUGCAAUAACAUGCACUGAUAAAUUAUGUAAUGAUCAGGAACAUGUACAGUAUUAAUAAAGUAAACAUAGUUUUAACUUUUUUUCAUGUUGACUAAAGGAAUCAGAGUUACUUCUCAUUCAAAGCACUAUGACUGUCUAUUCACCUAUCCAAAGGGAAAUACACUUAAACGUUGGUGAUUUUAAUAAUAUUAAUUGUUUUAUCCUUAUGCUAAAGCUUCCGAAAAAACUUGGUUACCUGGAUCAAUGCAAAAUACAUCCACCCCAGCUGCCUCAAUUGCUCCAAGCAGAUCCCUACAAUUAGUGUACUGUACAUCUCCCAGGAUAAAAGAUAUCUUCUAAAUACCAGAUCUCGAGGAAAGAUGGUGCUUUUGUACAGCACACGAGCUACAGAUCCAGUCGAACUCAACAGCCUCCUCUUGUGAUCACAUGGAACAGUUCCAGCUUGUACAGGUGCGAUAGAUAGACUUUAUCUGCUCUUUUCUUGGCCUCAAAGACGAAUUAACAUCUAAAAGAAACAUUAGUGUGCAUGUACAUUCCCACCAUGCUGAUUUAAAGAGCAGUGAAGGUAAACAUUUGGAAUGGUUGCUGGUUUAUUGGGAACUAGACUGCUUUUACUGUCACAACCGAAACCCUUAGCUCUUAUUACUGAAGCUUAGGACCACCAAUGUCCAAAAAUAACCAAUUCAUUUCCCUACGGCACAGGCUGAGACAAAGGGCACAGAAAAAAAUGGGAGCAUGGAAAAAGAAAAUGGAAUGAACGGAAUGAUCUGCGUUCACGAGGCUAAUGACACAACUUUGAUCUUGUGAUAAUUUUCAAUGGGCUUCAGAGUUGGUGUCCUAAUUUCAAACUAAUUUUUUUUUCAGCUGAGGUUUUCCUUUUUCCCUUCAAAUCUAAACUAUGGCAGAUGACAAUUAAGGAAUUGCUUACCCGCCGACUGUCUCAAAAAUCAGAGGCACUUAAAGGACAAUUCAAUUAUCAAGGACAUGCCAAUAUGAAAGUAAAAAAGUAAGAAAUAUUCUCACGGGGGAAAGAAAACGAGGCCAAAUAAAACAGAGGAGACAAUCAGGAAAAAAAAAGUCUGUGGGGAGGCAAUUGGAUUCAUAUGAUAUCUAAUGUACCAUAUGGCGAUCUGAUGUGUUCCUGCUGUGACGCACACCUGAUGCAGAAGGAGGCAAAGUCCUGUUUGUCGAGCCCAUAAAGAUUAGCUUUAAUCAGGUGGGUUUCGUUGCAUUCGGUAAACACCACCAGCAUUCCCGACUGAUGAGAUCGCUUCUGUGUGCCUGUGUGACCGGGGCAAACAUUUACUCCCCCUGACACUACUACUACCACCCUCUGCCUUUUUCUUUUUGGCCAAAAGUAAGUGAUUUUCCAUUCUGCCCUUGAUGUUUAAGAAACUGGAGAUUUCUAUAUGAGGACUCCUCACCAUCAGAUGCACACAGAUCAUGGCAAAUAUUUGGAAUAGGUGCUGGGCUUUCACAAUCAGCCCAUUUGUCAGCCAUUGAACGCACACAUACUCAUCCACUUAAACCAGUGAUUCCCAUCCAGGGCUAUGUGAGCAGGUUCCAGAGGGUACGCGAAAAGAUUUAGAUUUUGCUGGGUUUGUACCGCAUAGGCAGAAUAGGCAUCACAGGAACGCCAUCAAUUGCCUCAGCAUCAUCCCAGCCUGAUGCAUUAAUCGCUGCAACUGUGUCUAUUUACAACGUGAUUUUUCAGAGUUGAGCAUAUUUUAGCCAAUCACGGGCAUGUCUGCUGAAAGUAAUGGACAAUCAGAGGUGUUUAAAAUGCCUCAAAACGCUGAAUGAGUUUCAGUUUAGUGCUAGUUUAAGUCCUUCAUGCUCACAAACCCAAACCCAUUAAAACAAACAAAGCGUAAUACAUUGUAAAUUAGAGAUUUAUUGUGCAUUUUAGAUAGAUUCAUUGAUUAAAAUGGUUAGUUUUGCAAGUGUGCCGAAAUCAGUGAGCUUGCGCUGAACUGACUGACAGCUUCAGUGAUUAUAAAGGGAGCGCUUGUUGAAAAGUUGUUGUUUUUCAUGAGAUUUUAUGACUUCUACAUCAUACUUCAGUACAAAAAAAGUGCUAAGCUUUGAUAAAAAAAAAAAAAAAAAGUAUUUUUAAACAUAGUGCUUUUAUAAUGUCUAAAUAUAAAUUCAAAAGCAAAACGUGGGUGAAAAAACUAUAUUGGGCGUGGAAAUGGCUAA